rnacentral:rRNA from 1 species
UACGGGGGGGGCAAGCGUUGUUCGGAAUUACUGGGCGUAAAGGGCUCGUAGGCGGCCAACUAAGUCAGACGUGAAAUCCCUCGGCUUAACCAAGGAACUGCGUCUGAUACUGGAUGGCUUGAAUCCGGGAGAGGGAUGUGGAAUUCCAGGUGUAGCGGUGAAAUGCGUAGAUAUCUGGAGGAACACCGGUGGCGAAGGCGGCAUCCUGGACCGGCAUUGACGCUGAGGAGCGAAAGCCAGGGGAGCAAACGGG